ensembl:snoRNA
AACACUUAUAUGUACUUUUGCUAUACUUAUGGACAAAUACUCACAGACUGAUGUUAAAAACUAAUAAUAAUUCUCUUUUAUAAGCCAAAACUCAGUGUUUGAUGUGAGUUUUGAUACAUGUAUUAAGGAAUAUU